AAUUUCCCGCACUAAAACCCUUAAUUUUUUCCUCUAAAAUCAGUAUCCUCCAAACACCCCUAAUCUCACCCCUCUGUUGCCCUUUUCAAUAAAGAAACUCUCCAACAGCAACGUCUCCAAGCUCUUAUCGAAGGUGCCCACGAUUACUCUGGCUCCGCUGUACUUGGAUGGGGCGAUUGGUAUUACACGGGUGAAGAGGAUAAAGGGAAAAGGAAGUUGAAAACUUUGUCUGCAGUUUCGGAGUAAUUCCUUGUGGAAAGAAGGAAUUUAUUGCAGAACUUCAUUCAGUAUUCUAUACACAGAUCUUCAAAAUCUGAGAGAAGAAAUUCAAUCCAAAAAAAAGAAAAAGAACCCCAAAAGAUGAGGAUUAAUGGGAGUUGGGAGUUGAUUUUUUUAUUAAUUUUUUCAAGUGAUAUUGUUAUAUAGUAAAAAACAAGAUGAAUUCACAAAAUCAAGUGGAGUCAACUCUCAAGGAAAUACUCGAAGUGGUCAAGCUGUUGCAUGAAGACUGGGUUACUCGGUUUAAGAUCAUCAAUGAACUGCGUGAAGUCAUUCAAUCUAUCGAAAAUUUAAGAGCUUCCGUGGUCGGCUCUUAUCCUGCUUUGUCUUUCAAAGCGAGUUCACUCAAUAUUUGUGCUUCGUCUGUUUAAUGACUAUUUCGCAAUGACACUCCUCCAUGCUGCAACGGGAUCUAUUCUUUUUGGAUGGUGGCAUUUGGGGUUGAUUAUUUUUAGGCUAUGAGUAUCAGUGGGGUAAUAUCAGCUUUAGCUGGUGCAGCACUUGUGCAGGUGAGUUGGACUACUACACUUAAUGUUUGUGGCAGGGGGCAUUGCCUGCCAGUGUGUUAAUUCUUUUCUACAUACUCAGUAAAGGGUUCUGCAGAUUGUGCUGGGGCUGCCAUUUUUAUUAUCAUUUCCAGUUGAAUAUAUAUCACGAGCCUUUAAUCUUGGACGUGUCUUCAUCCACUUCUGGUCUGUCAACUAGGUCUGUCAACUUCAAGUUUGUUCCCGAACCUUUCAAUUUUCAAUGUUGUUUAGGUUCGCAAACAAGAUGUUGUAUUUGGACUUGCUGUUAGUAAAAGACUUGCUGUAUUUUAUUUAUAUCUUUAUAUUUAAUCUAAUUUUAUUAUUUAUUUUAGUUUUGAUUCUAUA